rnacentral:misc_RNA from 1 species
GCAAAGCGAACGCCCUGCUGGGGUUGUGCUGGCGCUCCUGCGCACGUGCACGCCUCGGAGGGUUGUCCACCCUCCUCACACCUGUGCACAUGUCCGGUUGGACCCGGCGCCUUGUGCGUCGACCGGCCGCCUUUCACAACAGCCAUGUCAGAGUGUUGAAAGCUUUAUGCGCUUGCGCAACCGAAA